GACAGAGGAUGCAAGCGUUAUCCGGAAUGAUUGGGCGUAAAGCGUCUGUAGGUGGCUUUUUUAAGUCCGCCGUCAAAAUCCCAGGGCUCAACCCUGGACAGGCGGUGGAAACUACCAAGCUGGAGUACGGUAGGGGGCAGAGGGAAUUUCCGGUGGAGCGGUGAAAUGCGUAGAGAUUGGAAAAGAACACCAAUGGCGAAAGCACUUUUACUGGGC
rnacentral:rRNA from 1 species